AGUAGCAAAGGUCGACAUCGGCAAUGGUCGAUUCGUGGCGAACGGUCAGAGGUCGAUUCGCGAACGGUCAUACGUCGAUGCCCGAACGCACCGAACCAAUCGAACCUAGUUCACCAUUGUGCAUUUUAUUUUACUUUUCAUUUUAUCGUUUGUUGCAAAUGGAGCAUUAUGUAUAGGCUGCUUGUCUUUGCCGUGGACGACACUAAAGACCUCUAAGUUUAAGUAGCUCUCCUAGCAGAACGAGAGCGAUAAUGGAUCAGGAAAUUCCAUCAAUGCACCCUGUCUCUCUUUAGUAGGGAGCCGAGGCACCCUUCUAUGACUCAGUCUUGUCACGUUACAGUAUGAGGAACUGCGCAAAAGCAGAUUGAAGCAAAGGAAACUGUGUCGGUAGUAAAUUCUAGGUAUCCUACAUGAAUGUAUUUAUUUCCAAGUAACUCCUGUGGGUAACAAAACGUUGGCUUCCACAUCAAGAAUAAAGUUGUCAAAGUAGAGGCUUGAAAGCAACUUACAAUGAAGUAGAUGUAAAGACCUGUGAUAUUAAAGCGUAUUAAAGGUCAUAAGGAACUUUACCAUCAAAGAAAUCUUCAGUCAUGGCGACUAUGACCAUGGAGCAGAGACGUUUCCCUCGCUGUAUGAGAAAAUCUGCCAUUAAAGUUUUUCAAGAACAAGAAAAGCUACAGUUUCAUCUGCAUUUUUCAUCAACUUGGUUCUCAAGAAACCUUCAA